UGGUUUGGAGACAGCUGCGGUGGU
rnacentral:miRNA from 1 species